GAACAAGAGCACUCAGCAGAUGUACAGAUCCAUUAUCUUUUCGCAUGGCAAUAUGUUCCUCCUUUCAGUAAAUUUGAGCAAGUUUGGAACAUAAAAUAUUACAAAUAGGCUGAAAUGCAAAGCAGAGAAAAUGAAAAUGAUUGGCAGAAAAUCAUGGAACAGUCAUAAGAGAUGCGAUAGGUGAGCUUUAAUGGGGCAUUAAGCAUGAGGUUCACCAUCUAACGAGGCAUCCACAUACACAGUAACCCUGCUGAGUAGCUGGAGCGAGUUCCAGCUCAUGUAUCCCCAGGCACCUCCUACACUAAGGCCACAUGACCAUGGUCUUCGCAUCUUGUCAUUUCAGCCUGACUCUCUCAAGGCUCAUGAGAUCUUUCCAUGACGCGCAUAACCUGUGUGUUCAGAAACAGGUUUUCGUAAAUGCACGUCUGAUGAUAAAUUUCAAAGGAAGAAGAUGAAGGUUCUAGACCGGUCUACUUCGUUCAUUCUCACUUGGCACCGCCACCACCAGCUGCACCACCCUGCUGAUAGGACUCCGCGGGCUUCAGAAUGCCCCUCCUACCUCGAGAUUCCAAGUUGCAUUUCUCUUCGUAUGCUUAGGCAUUUCUGGGGAGCAACCCAAGGCUUCUAGUCAGAAGAGCCAUGGACUGACUGGCAAGGGCAUCUGGAAGCAAAGUGCAACUCAAAGGAAGGCUGGUCAGCGACUAAGACGAAAGCAGUUCAUGAUGCUCCUGAGCAGAAGUGGAUACUACAGAGGAUGUAUAACUGAGCUCUGGAGGGCCUCUGUUCACGUCCCUGCUUCUCUGCUUACUGGUUAUUUGACCCGGGGUUAGUUCCUUAUCUGUUUCCUCCUGUGUAAAAUCUGAAAUAACAAUAUUCUGAAGAAUGAAAGAAAUAAUAUAAGAAACCACUUUAAGUUACAAAGUUAUGGCACUGCCAUUGUCAUAAUUAUGGCCUCUUAAAAAAAUUAGUCCUAAUUGUUAGCUGCCCACUUACGAGCCUGUGAAACCAACAUUUUUAAAAAGCUGUAGUUUAUAUAAAUAGAGCAAGUUUCUCAUGACCAAAACUGGUGUGUGGUGAAUGAGUUGUUAAUUGAAGGGUGAUGGUUUCCAAAUUGCAAAUAGCUUGGACAUAUUUGCUGACAUUGAUGAAUCCUAUUAACUGGAACUCAAGAAAGUGGCCAGCUCCCUUGGCACAUGCAAAU
rnacentral:lncRNA from 12 species